GUCUUCCUGGUUUUCCGUCGUCGCCUGCGUGUGAGUGCUGCUGCCAUCGAUCCAGAAAAGUUAUCCUGCGCGACUUCAGCUGCGCGACUGCCUCGUGGACGCGCUGCUCUUUUGCUUCGCUUCGUUGGCACAUCGCGACGUGGACGCACAGGACUCUUUUGCUUCGCUGACCGCGUGUUCCUGCUUUCCUUUUGCGUUUUUUCCACGCAGAAGCUUUUCUUCUUCGCUGCAGCGAAAAAGCUUCCUUCUUCGCCGCAGCGAAAAAGCUAGGGCAACCAGAUCUGCCAUCUCUCUCAGAGCUGCGCUGUGAUUCCUUCUCUCGAAGAAGAAGCUGUCGCUCAGAUCUGCGCUCUGGUUCCUUCUCUCUCGAAGAAGCUGUCGCUCAGAUCUGCGCUGUGGUUCCGCCGAAGCUUCCAGAUCCUUCUCCACCGCCUUCUCUCGACUAACCUUCGACGAAGAAGCUGUCCUUGCCCCUCACCGUCGCGACGCUGGAUCUACGCUGUGGUUCCGCCGAAGCUUCCAGAUCCUUCUUCGCCGCCAUCCCUUCGACGAGAAGCUGUCUCGCGCCACGAAGCCACUGACCUCACGCUCUUGUCCCGCCCAAGCCACUGACCUCACGCCACGAAGCUUUUGAUCUCGCUGCUAGUUGUAAGUUAUAAGUAAUUUUUAAGUCUAAGUUUGCAAUAGCUCAAGUUGUGGUUGAGUGUGCAAAGGGUUGUCUAUUUUAUUUAUAAUUGCUAUGGUAGGUUAUAGCAGAUUAUAAACGCUUAGCUCUAGAAUGAGAUUGUAGGAGUCUAGACUGUGAUUUUCCUUGAAUUUUGGCUUGUACUUAAACUGAUUGAGUUCAGUUGGCGUAGGAAAAAAUGAGAGUGUUAAGGGUUCACAGAUUUUAAUUGUUUAGAUCGAUUGGGUGUGUAGUUGAUGGAUUUUAAUAUUGGGUUAGAAAAAUGAGCAGUGCAGUGCUGCAUUUUGGA